CGCACCUUGCGCUCCCUGGUAUUCCGGGGAGCAUGCCUGUUUGAGUGUCAUGAAUCUCUCAACCUACCAGAUUGCAAAAUCGAAGUAGUGUUGGAUUUGGAGGCUUGCUGGCCUAGUCAGCUCCUCUUAAAUGCAUUAGCUAUGGAUCGCGCAGCUAUUAGAUCUACGGUGUGAUACAUGUCUUACCAAUGGAUCGAAAGCUAUAAUCACCGCUUCGGCAGUGUAUACUUUAAUGUGUACCGUGUGAUGAGUGAAUACAAAGCUUCUAAUCGUCUGUAAUGGACAACUCUUUUGACAUCUGACCUCAAAUCAGGUAGGACUACCCGCUGAACUUAA
rnacentral:misc_RNA from 1 species